AACAGCAAUUUUAUUGGUCACGUUAACAAAAUCAGACUUAAAAACCAGCAUCGUCGUUACAUACAGGACAUGGCUCUUCAGUAUGUACAGGAACAAGGCAUCGGACCUUUAGAGCGUCACACAUUAAUAACAUGCAGAUUCACUGGCCUCCUGAAGCGCACAACGCAGCGUCUUUUAAAACCAAGUGAAGAGCAAAAACAGGAGAUGGCAGAUAUAUUUGUAGUUAUCGCUGGAGUGAGAAUAUAUUUGCUGAAAUCAGUUACAUUUGAAACUGUUACAUUCAAACGCAUUCACAGAAAGUCGUGAAUCAGGAUUUCAGAAUUUUUAAGAUUUAUAAAAUGGUAAUGAACAACUCUCACUAAUAAACACUGGUCAUGGUAGAGCUUUAACAACACAACUCGGUUUGAGACUGUACAAAAUCCUCUGUGCUCUUCAUUCAAUACAUCAGUGAGCAAAACAGGUGUCUGUGCAGCUCGAGCAAUUUAGAUUGUUCUUAGGCGGGACGAUAAUAUCAGCAAAUAUGCAAUCUAAUAUUUAUUAUUGGAUGAAAUUAAAAAAAAAAAACAAAGGUAAGAAAAUCCUCUUCACUCUUUGUGGGACUGAGGUUUGGUUUCUUGUAAAAAUCAUACAAAGUCCUUAAAACUUCCUCUUUAGACAGAAAGAAGCUGAUGUAUAUUUUAAAGAGCAUCUGAAUCCUCUACAGUAAUUACCUGCAGUAACGAUCCUUUGCAAGGAUUCAAACUUGGAAAAACAUACAACAGUUAGCAGCAUUUUAUGUAGGACUAAAGUUAAAAAGGAAACACUGAGAAACAUUUGUGAGACACCAGGUUCACACAGAAUACAUCACAUGAAUGCUGUUACAAAUAAAACCAGCCUUUAAUUAUCCUGAUCUGGUUGAAGAUGGUUGCUUUAUCAGGAGCUCAGGCCUGUUUUGGGGGCAACUGAAGCAUCAUAACUACCCUGUAAUUCGAAUGGCUCCCUCUUAAUGACCGCUGGUUGAAGUUAAAGGGAAAACAAGCAUCAUAAAAGGAUGAUUUCCUGCUGUUUCUGAAUUUCCACAAACUGGAGAAACUAGAGAAAAGGAAAACAGCAAACAGAUUCCUGAGCCACAUUCAUAAAAGUCUGUGACAAAAUCUGUGUCUGUACACAGCUUAUAAAGCUCUGUGCAUGCACGGUCCCGCUCUCUAAAGUCUUAAUUACUGUGAAAUUUCAUGCAUGUACACAAGCAUAAUUUGCACUCUGGUCUUUAACUGUAGGCGCUUCCGUAAUUCAACCUUUGCAUUUAAAUUCUCUGUAAAUUCUCGAGUUAUUUUGGCAGGUAAGUAAACACCAAUGAAGAACAGCAAUUUGUUGAUCUCACUGAGAAACAUCUAAUGAAAACUGUAAUGAGACCAUCAACUCUGAAAUGGUGGUGCUGCAAAGUUUGCUCAAGAAAGCGGAGUGCUCAAUCCAGAACAGUCUGAUUGUGCAACUUUUAUGCGUCUGGCCUUCUGAUAAGUAAAGUUCACAGAAAAUACAGGAGGAGCUACUGAGUCGAGUAAUAUCGAGAUUUAUUUGACCAGGUUUUCAUGAAGACAGAGCUCUGUUCUUCUUUUGUAACAAGUAAACAACUUUAAGAUGAUUUUUACACAGAUAUUUGCAACUUAGCACCAAGAGUGAAGAGAUAAAUGUAGUUCUCUUAAAUUCAUGAAUAUAACAAUAAAUGUGACUAUUUUAUACUUGGAGUAAUAAACCAGCAUUAUCUCACACACCGCCUGCUCUGUAAUCCUGGUUUUCGCUCAGGUUAAAGGGCUAUGUCACCUUUCUCAAGUAAUACAAUCAUUAUAAGACUCAAAUAUCAACAGAGAGUUUUUUUAUUUUACUUUCUGCUAUUUAUAAUAAUCUGUAAUCUAUAAACGUUUCCAUUAAUUUAUAAUAUAACAUAACUAAAAUUCCACCUUAAAAUCAAAGUGAUAUAUCCCUUUAAAUUCUUUUUUUUUUUUUUUUUGCUAUAUUUUGUACUAAACUUUACUUUCAUUGUCAUAUAUUCAUUGCAAAAGACUCACAGACAAACACAAAACUUCUUUCUCAGGCCACAUAAUAUUUUUCAUAGUUUUUGUACACUUCUUAGACCUUAAUAUGCAUCCCUUCAUUCUGCUUUCAUAAAGCGAUAUUUCACUUGGACAGAAAUGUUUAUUUUUUUUAAUCUAAAUUACUGAACAGUCAGCUGUAAACAGAGGCUGCCUCGGGGGCAUCGCUCACUCUUUUAUUUCUACUUUUUAUGUAACGUCUGAAAAUGUUGCUGCUGACACGAUUCGAGGCAACGUGACCUCAGAUGGUUUCCAUGUUUACUUCUUUUAAAGCAGGAACGUCAAACUCAUUUGAAUGUAAUAAACUCAGAGAAAAGUGCAGUGAUAACUCAAAGAAUCCCAUCAGCAUGUCCACUCAGGCUUUAAUCCACACUAUAAGAAAUGGAUCCAUAAAAUCACAAAAAAGUACUGACAUUAGCCAGACUUUGUUUCCUGAUUUAAGAAAAGAGAAAUUUUCUGUUAUAUCACAGAUAAUUUCUGAUUUCUCUUUAAUGGAGACAAAUGAUAUUUGAUAUGGUUCAUCUAUAAAGAAAAAACAAACUUUUCUGUUAUUUAAUGCUUUUUCUGUUACUUUUAUUGGGAUGUGGCAGCCUGAGGUUCAAGCCUUUGUCAGUAGGACCUCAGGCUCAGGAGACAAUAACAGUUUGGAGUCUUGUGAUUCUUACUUAAUGAAAAGUUAAAUUUGAGCCCUUCUUCUCUGCAAAGCACGCCGGGCUGGACCUUUGACGGGCCAGUUCUGGCUCUUGUUGUUUGGUACGUUUGACAUCCCUGUUUUAAGGCUCCAAAAUUAAACUCUCUUAAAACGUUUUUAUUCUCAUGGUUUGGUCAUGAUAGGAACUUUCUUUAGAUUAAACAUGACCAUGCUGUGAGCAUAAAGGCAUUUCAUUUGUUAUUUAGAGGACAAUGCCUUGGAGUUAUCUGACUUUAAAGCCUAUGUGUAUAUAUCUCAAUCAAAGAUCCAUCAAAUCAGGCAAAAACAACAUGAAUCCUUUAUCAUUUCAGCUUCAUGGAAGCUGACUGACACUGAAGAUCGUCCAAAAAACUUUCCACCGGUGUGAAAUAUCACUUUAUCUAAUCAAAUAUACAUCUAUUACCUCUGCAUGUUUCAGAGAAGAAGAAAAAAAAAGUACUUUAUACUGAAGUCAUGUGACUGUUUACACCAAACUGGCUCGCGUGUGAACGACAGAGAUCAUGAGAUUGGGCGACUCUGCCGCGAUGCACCAGCUCCAGCGUUACAGUAUUAGUUUGUACAUUCAUUGAGUCUCAGAGUGAAAUGCUACUGUUGUUUGUCACAUUUGUACAUAAAGGGAAACAUCGAGCCGCAGCCUGCAGAAGGAAGGACCUUUCAGAACGCUUACAUUUCUGUUUUAACCAGGAGCUUGUUGUCACAGCGACCUGCGGUGGAUUUUUUCUGAGGCGCCGGGACGUGUUGUGAUUAAUGAGAAUCAAAUCAGGGUCACAACCCUGUGUGCUGCUGAAGUGUCCUUGAGCAUCGUUCUGAAUCCCAAACAGCUGUGAGAAUGCUGUGCUGUGUCUGAACUUUGACCUCUGACCACUCAGUGUGGAGAAAUGAGGGAGGGUGAGGACGUUUUUUUCUCUUUUUGUGCAACCAGAUUGUUUUUGUUCGUUUUAGCUCUGAUAUUUCUGCUUUAAACUAGGAAGGAAGGAAAAUAAAGAUAUGCACUAGAUGAAGUGGGGGGUGCAGGUGCAUGCAGAUAUUUUUAAAAACAUAGAGCAGAGCGAAGUCAAAUUGUGCCUGAUAACUGUCCGCUAGCAUUCACCUCGUCAUAUUUAAGCUGAUACCAGGGCCGUUAUCAAAGAGAAACACCCGGCACCAAAGACUCCUGAGCUCUCUGAGAGAACUCUGAUGGUAGAAAUUCAACUUCCAGGGAAAGUUUUAACCUGUUUUGUGUCCCAUAGAGCACUGAAAUUACACCUAUUUUAGGAAUUCCCCCAAAAAUAAGUCCCGAAGCAUUUCAUGAUGACUGCAGAGUGGCGACUUUAAUUUGGAAUUGAUUUGAAGAGCAAAUUAGCAAAUCACAGAAAGGGCGGGUUGUUCAGGCUGCUUUAACCUUCCCAUACCUGAAAUGCUACUGUAAGCUGCUUUGCAACCCACCUCCUCCCACUUGUUUUUCUCUUUCUGACUUAAUCGGUGUAAAACUCUACCGCCAAUGAUGCCUUCUCUGUUCUGUGUCUGUGUGGAACAGAGCCAUGCUGAUAAAUAUAGCGACUGACCCUGACUGAACAAGGUUCAUUUACAUUUCCUGAUUCAAGCCUAUAAAAGGUGAGAUUAGAAAAUACAUUUAACACCUUGUUUUGGUUAAAAAACAAAGUGGGUCGAUUGGCAGCGACUUCUAAAAACACACAUGAAUGUUUCUGUACAUAAUCACCUUGAUUUCCAAUCAAGCGGCUGAAAAAUGAAACCAAUGCAAAUGUGUAAACAAACAAACAACCUGCCGUUCUUCUGAAUGUCCAUUUGAGGCUGACUAUGAACGUGAGUCAGUCCCCACAGACUCUGUUAAAAUCUCCGACUUUACAGCAGAAAUAAAAUGUUUACAGCCUGAUGCUAAAAUUGUUUUGGCCUCUGUGGACGUUUGUCUUCAUUCAUAAUGUGGCUGCUUUGACUGACUCGUGCUUACACCUGCAGCUGUUAGCUGUGCUGGCUCCACCUUCUCAAAUUCAAGUCACUGAACUGGACCUCAACGCCUUGUUGGAGCAUUUUAGUGCAAUUAUCAGACAAAUAUUAUGAUGCAGGUUACAGGUCGUCCAACCUUUGCUUCGGAAAGACCAACAUGGUGACGGCCAAAACGCUCACGCUCGAUUUUCAAAACCUAAAAUCCAGAAACAAGCUGGUAAACCCUUCUCUUCCAUGAAAUGAAAUUAGGGUAUCAUUUCUACAGUGGCACGUUUAUCCAGUACUUGUCUUUACAUCAAUGAGAACAAAGCAAAAAACUUAAAGCUCACAGGUUAUUCUGCAAAUAUUUCUUGGUGCUGGUUUGCCAAGUUGCACUCAGUGAAUCAGGGAAACAUUAAACCUUCUGUUUAUAUCCCAUAAAACCAGAUAAAGAGACUUAAUAUCAUCAUAUUUUCUCUGUUGUGCAAGGAGUAUUACAUUUUUAUUCAUUUUUUAGAAUCUACUGAGUAUGUCUCAGAUGCCAAUAAAAGGAAAUUUAAGAAAGUCUAGCUGCUAAUAUUUUAUUCAUUCAGCCCAGCAGAGUUUUUUGUCGGUUUUAUCCUCAUGCAUUUAAAGUUCUGACUACUCAGCUAAACUCUCCUCUUAGCCUGGAGUGAAUUAACGCUCUGAUUCUUGGAAAAUGUGUAAUUUAUUUAUUCCCACAAAGGCUGAGUGUGCAUCUCGUCCUAGCCAGAGGUUUCAGGAGACUCUGAGACACUGUCUCCUCUAUCAUGUCCUCACAAGGACUUUUCAUGACAUCCGAGAGCUGCUCUACCAACAGUCCUUUGAUAUAAAUAGACUAUUUCCAUGGCAACCGAGUCAUGGCGGUGCCCGCGGAAUAAAGAUUGAUUUUCUCUCGUGUCUUCGGUCAAAGUUCUUGACAUUCAAGGAUGUCACAGAGGAAGUGAAACACAGAAACAUAGUUUCACACUUUUCAGACGCUCACAUCCUCCAUCUGUUUACAUCUGCUUAAUUAUAAAAUCCAUUUGUGCAUUUAACUGUGACCUCACUCUUCACCCUUUGUGAGUGCAGCGGCGCUGUAGUAAUGCCGUCAGGGCAGGAGUGCAGCUAAUAAAUAUAUGCAGACCUAUGAGUCACUUUAGCAAACGAAGACAGUGAGUGUUUCUCACUCAUGACUCUUCUGCAUAUUCACAAACAGCUCACCUACGUCCUCAUCGCAGACUUCAUAAUGCCCGCCUUCAGGUCUGAAUAAUGAAGCUGGUGUGGAAGAGCCUCAAAGCUGUAUUCCUGCUAAUGACCAGCAGGGGCAACGCCCUCUAUACUUUGAUUGCACCUGUGAGGAAAAUGACCCUACUUCUCAAUUGAUCUUAAACCAGUGCAGACAGUUUCCUGAUGAGCUCACAACUUUGGCUGUCAAAAGAAAGCGACAACAGCACAAACAAAUUUAGCCAGCAUUAAAGGAUGUGAGGAGAAGCUCAAGCGUUCGUUUGGUUUCUGCAAAUCUGUUUUAAACUUGGCAUUUUUCAAAGCUUCCAGCAGCUCAGAUAUUUAUUUUUAUUUGCAAAACCAAAAUCUGGCAGAACAAAAAUCCACAGCAGUCUUUUCUUUGUCUCAUGUAUGAAACAUGUUAUUUGGACUCUGAAUUCUGUGCAACCUGCGACUGACAUUACAAACACACUCAGAGUGCAGCUCAGUGAUGAUUACAUUUCUGAAUUUCUGCUGGUUUUCUACCAUUUUCACACAUUUUCACAUGUAGUUGAUCAAAUUCAAACCAAUAUGAGCUCUAAGACUGAAGUUUUGAAAAAAUACUCUCAUGCGUGCCCCCCUCCUCCCAUCUGAAUGAGCUUUUCGAAGUGUAAUCCUCAUUCUUUCUGUGUCCUCCUCACCUGACUGCAUCCAUCCACAUAACUGAACUAAAGACCCUUUCAAGCCCUUUUCUUCCAGCUCUGUGCAUCCAACCUGUGUGAAGUGACCGAGCACCAACAAUCGUUCCUUCUGUGAUGUUGUUUCUCCCCACUAACAUGGACCUGCAGGGUCCACAGGCCUAAUCUGUUUCUCCCCCAAAGAGAACCAGGUUCAGACUUGUUUUUUUCCAACCUUGUUAAAACCUUAAGCCUUGUCUUUUUAUUUCUGGCUGCCCAGAGGCCAGCGGGGAAACAUCAAUGUGUCAUUCAAAGUAUUCAUGCAGAGUCACUCCUCGUCUUCCCCGCUAAGCUGAAAAUCCGCCUCUUCAAGAAUCACCUCACGUCACCCGGCGACUCGGCUGCAUCCCACCGCCUCGCCCACAUCUCCUCCCCUCCUUCACUCCUCUCUACUUCAUCCACACAUGAAUAGGAUAGCUUCAGCCUGUUUCCAAAGCAACACGAUGACAAUGAAGUGACACUUUGACCUUUGCAAUCCUCACUUCUACUAGCAUGACGCUAAAGCAUCUCAGCCUGAAACUUUAUCUCCAUGUUGGCGUUUCUACUGUUUCUGAAUCCAGUGCAACAGGAAAGAGUCUGAAAACCUGGAACGACUUUGACAUUUUUGCACUUCUGCUUCUUCUGUCUUUUUUUAAGGUUUUAUUUUAAAUUCAUGUCUCUUGUUAAUGUCGAUGAGGCUAAACAGGAUUCAGAACCUGUGGAAAGGAGUGCUGGGGAUGCUGCAGCACUCCGUGGAUGAUUGCAGAAGAACUUGAGAAGAAGUUUGAUUUGUCAUUUCAUUUUCAUGUUUUAUUUUAUUGCAGUAAGUAAGUGAUCAAACUAUCAUGAACUUAUAUAUCCCACAGAGCGUCUCCAAUAUUCCAAAACCUGCUUUUGGCUGAGGGAAAAGUUCAGGACUUCUGGAGUGUGAUGUAAAAGUAGCAGAUGCUGAAAAUGUGCCCGAGAAAGGUGUUUCUGACUUUUACAGUUACUGGAACAUAUUUUUCAGCGCUAUGUCAGCCUUUUGUGUGUCUUUGGUUGUGCUCGCAGCCAACAUGUUUGCAGCUUGGGAAAGUGAGAAAAUUACUGUUGAAGGAGCAGCUUUUUA
ensembl:lncRNA